CAAGAGGAUUUGGAGUAUGAGAAAGCUAGAGAAAAAAUGGCAGGAAUAUGGCCAAUAGACUCCGGGUCAGGGGAAAAUUAUUUAGUGUCAUUUUCCCCUUUGAGAACAGAUGAGUCCUAGCCCAUAUCUCUCUUGAACCUAAGACUAGUCUGUGAGUACCAGAAACAGAUCAUGGACAUGAAGAGUAGACUUGUGUUUGCCGGGCCGGGGGUGGGGGCGGGGGGGAUAAGGGAAUGGAUGGGGAGUUCGGGGUUUGUAGAUGCAAACUAUGACAUUUAGAAUGGAUAAGUAAUGGAGUUCUAACUGUGCAGCACAGGGAACUGUUGCCAAUCUCCUGGGUUAGAACAUGAUGGAAGAUAGUAUGAAGAAAAAAAAAAAAAAGAAUGUAUUUAUGUAUUUAUGUGAUUUAGGCUGGAUCACUUUGCUCUAUAGGAGAAACUGAAGGAACAUUAUAAAUCAACUAUACUUUAAUAAAAAAAUAAUAAAAAACAAAAACUCCACUAGCUGCCUCCCAGCCAUGCUAUACUAGGCAUUGAGGAAGAGCAGUAGUGAUUCUGAAACUGCCCCAGUGCAAGGUCUGGAGUGAUGAUCAGAGCUCUUGCAAAGAAAAAGAUAUCUUAAGGUUAAGUCGAAAAGAGGGGAAUUUUGAGCAGUAAUUUCCCACAACUUGAGAAGCAAAAGGAAUUGUGUGAAUUGUUACAAUUUCCCCCUCACAAAGCUUUCUGUAGAGUCCUGACAGUCACCCACAAGUCACUUUUAAAGCAAUAGUGUGAGCUAUAAUCCAUUCAAACCAAAAACAUUAGUCAGUCUUAUAAAAUUUACUCAAGUUUUUAAAAGGGAGAUUAAGGAAUGUUUGACACUGCCCCCUGCACAUAGUAACACUCUCAUAAAUCCUCUUUGUAUUCGGCCCUGCCUCUCUGCCCAAGUCUCUCCGGCAUGCUCCUUAGACCCACACCACAGCAGACCUUUUCUUUUGUCCCCUUCCCCAGUGCAUUGUAUGACUGUAAUAUUAUAUUCAGCCUUCCAGGUUCCACUCUUCCUCCCCCAAUCUCUUUAAUUUGCUUCAUGCAUAGCCAUUUCACCAAGCUUCUCUACUUUCUCCAAAGCUGCCUAGUCACAUGCAGGAAAAUAACUCUUUCACAGUAACCCUGAGUUAUAUAUACGCUUGUGUGAUAGGCUAGGAUUGGUUUAUCUCCUCAAAAUACAAGCAAGUGAACCAGUUGAUCCUUGCUAAAUCCUGUCUCCCAAGGAAGGAAGAUAGGUCUACAGACAAUUUGGGGUUACCAAUAUCUUCACAUUAUAGGCUCUUUGGACUUGCUUAGAAGUCCAAAGAAAGAUUCAGGAGGAUGCAUACUUUUAAAAACAUGUAUAAUCACCAUAUGUUCCCCUUGUCCUCUUUGAGUUUCCCAAAUCACAAAACUUUUUACACAAAAGCAUUAUCAAAGGAGAUUUAGUAGGGUGGAUGGAGUAAAGAGUUUUUAAUCACACACCACAUAGAAAACAACUUAAUAAAGCUCCACUGUGCAUUUUCCCCCAAGGUCUCUUUAUAGGUAGGCAAACAGUUAGAAUCUUCUCUUUUUUUACCCCUUCUUGCAGGAAGCCCUUGGCCUUGCACCUGCCUGCUCUCCCUCCUUUAUUAGGCAGAUUUUUCUUCAUCUGCACAAAGCCUGGACCCCUGUAGAAGCCUUGUUCCUACCUCACAGCAGAAUUAUCUGUGUUUAUAGCAAAGCAACCCUCUUCCUACAAAAGAUUUCUCACAUGAGUAGGCAAAAACGUAGCGUUUUCUCCAUAUGUUACCUGUUCUUUAUUAUUUAAAAGGUAAUAGUAUGUUUGUUGAAUUUAAGCAUAUAGAUUCAGAUUCAUCUUUUCAGUGAAUGAUACUAAGAGCCUUGUACCUGCCAGGCAAUGGGCUAGAAGCUGGGGCUACGGCAGUGAGCAAGACCCAGUCACUGUCCUCAGUGAGCUUGUCUGGUAGGGAAGAUGGACAAGAAAACAUACAUUUCAACUCUGAGUGCCAAGUAUGAUAUUGGGAGCAUAUAUUGGUUGUUAGAAAACUUUCCGGAGUCACCCCAUCCUGCCUUGGAGGAGGAAAGUCUAGGAAGGCUUUGCUGAGAAAGUGUUGAGGAGGAGGAUGGAGGCUGCCUUCUGGUAAAGAAACAGCUGGACCAAGAUCCAGAGGGGAGGAGCAUAGCUGUGGUUCACUGUGGUUGUGGCAUGCAAAAAGUGAGGAGAACUGAGCAAAGAGAUGAAGCUGGAGAAGGAAGCAGGGCUGAUCAUACAUGGCCUGCAAUGCCACAUUGACAAGUUUGGGUUGGCUCCUUUGUUUGCCUGAAGUUUGUGGAAGCGAUUUUGAGCAGGCAUAUUUAGAUUUCAAUUUUUUAAAAGGAAGGCCUUCUAGAGCCCAUGGUCUGGGAGGUAAGAAGACCCUUCAGCAGUGCAAAUACUCCGCCUUCUAAAUGUAUUGGUUUUAUUCCAAUGUGCAUCCUUUAUUUCUUGAGAAUUUUGAAGACAGUAUUACUCAAAUAUCUUCUAAGACCACAGUCCCAUUCAUUAUUUAUCUGAAGCUCCCAGUGGCUUUCUUUCUUGUCAGGGAUAUGAAUCUGAAGGAAUAUUAGAGCCCAGAUGAUAACUACCUUGAAUAAAUUAUUAUAAAAUUUUCAACUUUGAAGAAAAUCACCCACUACAAUAAUAAUGCUAGGAGUCUUAAUCUAAUUUUAGUGUUAUUUCCUGAAUGAUUUACAAAAUCCCCAAAUCCUACAAAAAUGUUGAAGAAUGAAGUUGCAUGACCAUUAAUUUCUUUUUCAAGAACAAAUAGCUUCUCUUCUCUAAUGUGAGCAAUAUAAUAAAAAAAUUUUGAAUCUAGUAAGAGAGAUUUGAGCAUAUAGAAAGGAAAUACUUCUGAUAGAAAUAUAUGCCAUUUUUAAUUUGUCAGCAAAAGAACUGUUAAAAAUAAUAACUAAAUAAUGUUGAAUGAUUGCUAUGUGCCAAAUGUGAUCUUUGCACUUUGUGAUUUGAACUCAGAAUAGUCGUGUGAACUACAUACUAGUCAUUCCAUCAUACCCAUUUUACUAACAAGGGAAUAGUGGUCAGGAAAGACAUGUAACUUGCUUAAAGACAUGUAGUUACUAAUUUGAACUAAGUCUGUCUCCAGAGGUUAGGUUCUAUUUCUUAUUACCACAGUCCUUCUUAGAGAUCUUGGGGAUGUUACCCCUGCCUUUGGGUCGAUAUUGGAUACCAGCUUGGCAAAAGGCUAGAGUACAGAUACGUGGAAGAAGACUAGUACAGAAAGGAUAAAUUGUCUUCGAUAAUCCUGUAAUUCCAUUAGCAAUUCCAUAAUUUAGUUUUAACAUUAACCUCUGGAGCCUUCAUUCUUUCAAGACCACCAUCUUUAUCAAAACCUAUGGGGUGUGGCCCCAAAUUAUUUAUUUUUCCUAGAAUAAGGAUUCCAUCCUAUAGAACUACUUUCCAUUCUCAUCAACCUGGGGGCCAUUAUUAACUAAGCAGGACUGAUUACAUCUCCUGACACAAAUUGCUUUCAGUUGUUGGGAAGAUAGUUUUCCAUGGUGUAGAGAGUACAGUGUAAUGGUGAAAAACAGCUCUGAUUUUAAUUCUAGUGCUACCAUUUCCUAGUGGUAUAUUCUUUGAGAAAUAAAACUUCUCAGGACUCCAGUUGCUUCAUCUGUAAAAUGGGGAUAAUAAGACCUACUUUGCAAUGUUCUUAAGGAUUUGAUUGGUGAACAUGAGCAGGCACCUGCCAAGAGUUUGACAAAAACAGCUUUCUUUAUAGUGAAACCUGCUUUCUCUAAUGUUUCCACAGGUUAAAUUAUGACAAUAGGUUUCCUGGCUCUGGCAUACUUUGUUCACAAAUUUUUCCUCUUCCUUACAUGGUAUUAUAUAUGCAACCUUUCUGAAUGAAUGUUUGAUUAAGAGGAUGACAAGCGAUUCUGGUGGUGAUGAUUAGAGGGUAGGGUUUACUGGCUCAAACUGCCAUCUAUAAAAUGUGUCUAUCAGAAUCAGAUGCUCAUUUGGCCCUGUUUCGUGUUCAGAAUUAGGUGGUUUUCAAGUGGGAUGUCAUUUGCUAGAAUCCUGGAGGCCUUGGUCAGUUCACUGUUGGCUUGAACCCAUGCCACAGACUUAACAGGGAUAUCUGCCUUUACGGCUCAGGAAACGGGUUAGUUUUCAGGCACAAAGCCAAGGGUCUGAGUAUAACACACAUUUGAACUCAAACAAAUAACAAGUUUAUCCCCUUGUUUUUGGUUUAUGGGUUGAUUGAUUUUUACAGCAGGAGGCUUAUUACAGGAUCAGCCAGGCUCCUUCCCUGGAAAUCUGUGGAACUGGUGACUAUUCCUUCCCAUGCACAGUGCCACCCAGAUGACCUAAAAGACUUAGUGAUUCCCUCUCUUUUAGAUGUAGUUCACAUGCUAUAAAAUCAACCAUUUAAAAUGUACAAUUUCAUGGUUAUUAUAUAUUUUUAAGGUUGCACAACCAUCACCACCAGACUUAGUGAUUCUUACUUUUCCAAAUACAUAUACCUGAUGGAAAAACAAAAAUCUUCGUUAAUAUCCACUUACUUUAAAUAAGUUGCUGGUGCAAAAAAUUAAAUCCAGAAUUCUGUUUGCAGUGCUUUGCUUUUCAGGUCACUUGAAUUUGCAAAUUAAAAUUAGUUCAUUAAUAUGAAUUACAAGCAUAUUGCUUUUUAUUUAGAUAUCUUCUCCUCUUUCAAUGAUAACAGAAGUAAUUGUGAAAUGCAUAGAGCCUACAUGCAUUUUAUUCUUUUGUUUAUGAGUAUAUACAACAUACAUUCAGAAAAAUAUCCUUCUGGAGGGUAACACACAAGCCCACACAAUUCUAUUACCUUGCAAUAUUUUCUUGUCAGGUAGAGGUAGAAGUGUAGGUACUUUUGUUGCUUCCAUGUUUUAGUGAUCCCACUCAUAUCUGGCACUAUGACAUUGUCUUUUUAAAGUGGAGAUUUUUGAAAGACUAGACAAAUAGGUUCUAUGGUUUGUAUAUAAAAAAAUACUAUGGACCAACCAUAUCCAAGUAGAAUUGUUUUCCACUACUAGUGAAGGAUUGAUAUCAAUGGCACAGUUAAAAGUCCCAAGCCAGAUGAGAACCAGACAGUUAAUGCCAUUACAGACAGCACUAUGUAGGCACAAACAGCCCUUCCAUUAUUGGAUGAUAAUACACUGGUUACUUUUUCAACGAGGCAUCUUGGAUGAACAAAAGAGUCUAGAUUUCAUAUGACAGGCUAGAGUUUCACACUUAAUUCCUUCGAAUAGUGAUAAAAAUGGUGGUGAAGAAUGAAGGCCAUGCUGAUUGCAGUUCAACAAUUCUAGUAGUUCCAGGGGUACUAGUUUCCAUUUCAUAAUCAUAACCAAUAAUGGCUUUCACAUUCUAUUGUAUACUGUUCACUUGUUCUAGUGUUUCUUAAGCGUCUACUAUGUACAAAACUUUGAGUUAGGGACCAUUUUGUUAAGAAUCAUAUGAUCCAGUUUCAUAUGACAAAGUUAUGGUUACAAGGCCAAAUUCCAUUAUAAUAGAAUUAAAGUAACAUCCAAAUUAUUUUAUUUCACUAAAAUUUUAUGGUAUUGAAUAUGCUUGAAUAAGUAAGUUACUGGGAUUUUUUUUUAAUAAUACUGAAGUUUAUUAAAAAAACUGAUCUGAACUGUAAUGUAAUACAAUUACAAUCAUAAAUAUAAUUACGAGUAAGUGCUGAGGGAAUACAGUAGAGGAGACUAAUUAGAGAGAGGUGGUUCUAGGACUCCUCCAAGGGCUUUUGAUUGAUUCAGGGGGAGAUCCUGGUCCUCUCUAGACUUUUUGCUCCCAGGGGACACUCCUCCACUGAAAAGUUAAAAUGCAGAAGCAGAGUCUUUGCAUCUGCACCCAAAUCACAAGGAUCUUUUGGGUCCAGCUUUUAAGAGUAUCACCUUAUUCCUUUAAAAUUAGUCAAUUAAUUUAAAUAAAACAAAAAUAAAUAAUAGAAAAUAUUUUCCAUUAAAGAACUUACCUUUGAGACUUCUGACGAAGGUUUUCCACAAUUUUAAAAAGUAGCCUUUUAAAAUGAAUUGACAUCCAGAUGACUGGGGUCAAACCCGCAAACUCUGUUGAAGAGGCCUCUCUUAACAAUGGAUCCCAUAGUUAUGAAACAUUAAUAGGUCCUGAUAUGGCUCUCAUUAGGGCACCAUGGUCACUCUAAUCU
rnacentral:lncRNA from 1 species